rnacentral:rRNA from 1 species
CCUACGGGCGGCAGCAGUGGGGAAUAUUGGACAAUGGGCGAAAGCCUGAUCCAGCCAUGCCGCGUGUGUGAAGAAGGCCUUCGGGUUGUAAAGCACUUUCAGUGGGGAAGAAAGCCUUGGGGCUAAUACCCUCGAGGAAGGACAUCACCCACAGAAGAAGCACCGGCUAACUCCGUGCCAGCAGCCGCGGUAAUACGGAGGGUGCGAGCGUUAAUCGGAAUUACUGGGCGUAAAGCGCGCGUAGGCGGUCUGAUAAGCCGGUUGUGAAAGCCCCGGGCUCAACCUGGGAACGGCAUCCGGAACUGUCAGGCUAGAGUGCAGGAGAGGAAGGUAGAAUUCCCGGUGUAGCGGUGAAAUGCGUAGAGAUCGGGAGGAAUAACAGUGGCGAAGGCGGCCUUCUGGACUGACACUGACGCUGAGGUGCGAAAGCGUGGGUAGCAAACAGGAUUAGAUACCCGUGUAGUC